UACGUAGGGUGCAAGCGUUGUCCGGAAUUAUUGGGCGUAAAGAGCUCGUAGGCGGUUUGUCGCGUCUGCUGUGAAAACUCGGGGCUUAACCCCGGGCCUGCAGUGGGUACGGGCAGACUAGAGUGCGGUAGGGGAGACUGGAAUUCCCGGUGUAGCGGUGGAAUGCGCAGAUAUCAGGAGGAACACCAAUAGCGAAGGCAGCUCGCUGGGACGGUACUGACGCUGAGGCGCGAAAGCGUGGGGAGCGAACAGG
rnacentral:rRNA from 1 species